AGCUUUAAGCAACAUUUCUGCCUGCAUUACCCAAACGCUUUGCAGCGUCCCCUGUGUUUGUGCUCCAGAGCUUUUGCCGUGAGACCAGGCUGUGUGUGCAGCCCCUUUUAUAGAGGGGGAGGGCUGAGCCCAGAGAGGCUGCACGGCUCUCACAGCCUGGAGCAGGAAAUUUGUGGUCCCUUGGAGGCACCUCUUCAGGCAGAGACGAGUGGUGGUACAGGCAGAGACGAGUGGUGGUACCCAGCUCAGAACCAGAUGUCAAGGGUUGAAGUAUUUACUCCCACAGACAAUGUAAUUCUGACCUUUUCCAUCUACUCUCCUGCCUUCCAAUGCCUGGUUUCUUUCCUGCUCUUACCUGUCACUUUCAACCUCCCAUAUUCCUACUUUGCUGAGGAGACAAGUCUUUCACACUUGGAGGAAAAGAUAAUUGGGUUCCUGAUGGGACGAGGGAGAUAAUAGCGGUGUUUACGGGAGCAGACGGAAAGCGAAGCCAUCCGUCUGGGAAGCUGCCUCGGCCCCUCGAAGCGUAGGUGAGGCAACACCAGCGCUGCGGGGGCAGAGGUAGGAAAUUACUCAACGUGUUUUGUGCUGGGAACAACCCCGGCUGCUUAAAAUGCUCUGUGGCUUUUAUCUUCCCUUCGCAGUACAGGGAAAUAAACACAAGAAUAACCCGCGAGGAGGCA
rnacentral:lncRNA from 1 species